UGGGGAAUCUUGCACAAUGGGGGCAACCCUGAUGCAGCGACGCCGCGUUAGCGAUGAAGGUUUUCGAAUCGUAAAGCUCUGUCCUAUGGGAAGAUAAUGACGGUACCAUAGGAGGAAGCCCCGGCUAACUACGUGCCAGCAGCCGCGGUAAUACGUAGGGGGCGAGCGUUGUCCGGAAUUACUGGGCGUAAAGGGUUCGCAGGCGGCAUGGCAAGUCCGAUGUAAAAGGCGAAGGCUCAACCUUCGUAAGCAUCGGAAACUGUGAAGCUUGAGUGAAGGAGAGGCAAGUGGAAUUCCUAGUGUAGCGGUGGAAUGCGUAGAUAUUAGGAGGAAUACCGGUGGCGAAGGCGACUUGCUGGACUUCAACUGACGCUGAGGAACGAAAGCGUGGGUAGCAAACAGG
rnacentral:rRNA from 1 species